UACGGAGGAUGCGAGCGUUAUCCGGAUUUAUUGGGUUUAAAGGGUGCGUAGGCGGAUGAUUAAGUCUGUGGUGAAAGCGUGCGGCUCAACCGUACCGAGCCAUGGAAACUGGUUAUCUUGAGUAUAGACGAGGUAGGCGGAAUGUGAUGUGUAGCGGUGAAAUGCUUAGAUAUGUCACAGAACUCCGAUUGCGAAGGCAGCUUACCAGGCUAUAACUGACGCUGAGGCACGAAAGCGUGGGUAUCAAACA
rnacentral:rRNA from 1 species